UUUCAGCUGCAAGUAGUCAGCCACUAGCGCCGUAACACCGAGCAUGUGCCUGGUUGUGUCGCAGUAAGGUUCCAAUAUGAAUGACUGCGUGCAUGUAGCGCUUGCUGGACGCAAGUGGGCAUGAACUUGACCACGGGAGUUAGUCGUCGAGUUGGAGCCGUUUGGACAAAAAUUACAUCCGUUUGGCUCUCUGGAGGACCGUUUUGGCGCCAGGCCAAGUUUUUCGUCCAAACUGAUGAAAAAACACCAAAGCGGAUGAAAAAUGCAAUUUUUCAAAGCAGAAGGGUGGGCUGAUGUCACGGUGGUACAUCGUUACAAAAAUGAAGCCUGUGCUGAACUCCACGGUAAGCGGGACGUUUUAGUCUGUCUCUUCACCGCUCUCAACCUCGUAGAGCAUCAUCUGCACGGAAUCAACUAUGGCAACUCUGUCAGCUUCCCUGUUUCUGUUGUCGUGUGUUCUAGGUAAGCAGUAGGUAGACACCAAUUAACUUGCCGUGUGAAAAAAUGUCAGUGUUUCGUGGACAUGUGUCUGUACAUCAUUAAAAUGUUGACCCUUGAAAUGGCUUCAACGACAUGGGCCGCUGGUGAACGGGCUCAACAUGAUUUACUGCCCUGGCAACAUGCGUCGCGUAGGUGGCACAACCACAGCCAGUCAAAAAGUUACUGGGUCG